AGCUCGACAGUGCAGCGGUAGCGCGUCUCUGUCCACUUGCAAAGGAAGAUCUCGGUUCGACUCCGAGUCGAGCUA
rnacentral:tRNA from 1 species